CACCGUAUCACCGUUUCAAGUACCCGACAGUGUGUAUGUUACCUAGGACAAUGCCAGCUAGCUUGCAUGUGAUUUUGUUGGAUCUACCCUUGCAUAUUUUGAUCUGUACAGAAGAGCAUCUGAGAAUGUCGCGAAUUUUAAAAAUACUUCCACUACAGUAUGAAACGAAAACGAAAGUUAUUGGACACAGUUUUUUCAUUUUCUCUAUACAUUCUUUGUUCAAAAUAUUGGUCAAUUUCUUUUCAGGAUUCUCAAAGAAAAAUAUACAUCAAAACCAUGAGAAAUUACAGUCAAACUGUUGUAAGACCUGCACCAAAAAACAUCAGGAUACUUUGGUUGUCAGUUACCGCACGGGCAUCUUGGCGAAAUGUUCUUCGCGGAAGAUUUUGCAAGAAAACGAUAACUUGUUUGGUUUUACUCAUUGUCAUCAUCAUUCUUGGAAUUUGUUCUCUUUGCAAUGUGUCGUCUGCAAAUAUAUCA